rnacentral:rRNA from 1 species
CGGCGACGCGCCGGUCUAAGUCCCUUGGAACGGGGCGUCAUAGAGGGUGAGAAUCCCGUAUGUGACCGGUGACCGAGCCCAUGUGAAGCUCCUUCGACGAGUCGAGUUGUUUGGGAAUGCAGCUCAAAAUGGGUGGUAAAUUUCAUCUAAAGCUAAAUACCGGCCAGAGACCGAUAGCGCACAAGUAGAGUGAUCGAAAGAUGAAAAGCACUUUGGAAAGAGAGUCAAAAAGUACGUGAAAUUGUUGAAAGGGAAGCGCUUGCAACCAGACCUGCCCGCGGGCGAUCAACCGUCCUUCUGGGCGGUGCACUCGCCCGUGAUCAGGCCAGCAUCGGUUCGGGCGGCCGGAAAAAGGCCUUGGGAACGUAGCUCCUCUCGGGGAGUGUUAUAGCCCUCGGUGCAAUGCGGCCAGCCUGGACCGAGGACCGCGCUUCGGCUAGGAUGCUGGCGUAAUGGUUGUAAGCGGCCCGUCUUGAAACACGGACCAAGGAGUCUAACAUCUAUGCGAGUGUUUGGGUGUCAAACCCAUACGCGUAAUGAAAGUGAACGGAGGUGGGAACCCCUCGCGGGGCGCACCAUCGACCGAUCCAGAUGUCUUCGGAUGGAUUUGAGUACGAGCAUAGCUGUUGGGACCCGAAAGAUGGUGAACUAUGCCUGAAUAGGGUGAAGCCAGAGGAAACUCUGGUGGAGGCUCGCAGCGGUUCUGACGUGCAAAUCGAUCGUCAAAUUUGGGCAUAGGGGCGAAAGACUAAUCGAACCAUC